AUUUAAGAAAUGUAAAAUUAAGACAUAAAUAAUCACCAUGUAUACAAGAAUAUGGACUGGGUUUGAACUAAACAAAAUUAUUUCUAUAAUUGUCAUACACGCACUUGACUUAUUAUUGCUUCUUAUAUUAUUGCCAUUUAUGAUGUGGAAAUGGAUUUCUGAAAGGCCAUAUAUAAUAACGAUUUUGAGAGCAGUCAUUGAGGUCACUUUAGAGUUGAUUAUGUGGAUUAUCUUUGCUGGUGUAGCAAUACUUACCACUCUAAUUUUUGUAUUUGAUGAUGUAUAUUGCAAUAAAACAUAUUGUGACA